GGAGGAAAACAGAGAUGAACCACCGACAGGGGCCAACAGGGGAAUCUGUCAAACCACCCGGCGGUGCUUUUAUCCAACGAUAGAGGUGUUGAACGGACUGGGAAAAGGGAUGCUGAAAGAAGCAUCUCAGGU
rfam:Bacteroidetes bacterium GWF2_49_14 gwf2_scaffold_1673, whole genome shotgun sequence.